UACGUAGGCAGCGAGCGUUGUUCGGAGUUACUGGGCGUAAAGAGUGCGUAGGCGGUUUUCUAAGUUUGGUGUGAAAUCUCCCGGCUUAACUGGGAGGGUGCGCCGAAAACUGGAAGGCUUGAGUAUGGGAGAGGUAAGCGGAAUUCCUGGUGUAGCGGUGAAAUGCGUAGAGAUUAGGAAGAACACCAGUGGCGAAGGCGACUUACUGGACUGUAACUGACGCUGAGGCAUGAAAGCGUGGGGAGCAAACAGG
rnacentral:rRNA from 1 species